GCAGGCCUAAUACAUGCAAGUCGAACGCGAUUAAGGGGCUUGCUCCUUAUGAAAGUGGCGCACGGGUGCGUAACGCGUAUGCAACCUACCUUUAUCAGGGGGAUAGCCCGGAGAAAUCCGGAUUAACACCGCAUAAAAUCACAGGAUAGCAUUAUUCAAUGAUCAAAUAUUUAUAGGAUAAAGAUGGGCAUGCGUGUCAUUAGCUAGUUGGCGGGGUAACGGCCCACCAAGGCGACGAUGACUAGGGGAUCUGAGAGGAUGGCCCCCCACACUGGUACUGAGACACGGACCAGACUCCUACGGGAGGCAGCAGUAAGGAAUAUUGGUCAAUGGAGGGAACUCUGAACCAGCCAUGCCGCGUGCAGGAAGACUGCCCUAUGGGUUGUAAACUGCUUUUAUCCGGGAAUAAACCUACUUACGUGUAAGUAGCUGAAUGUACCGGAAGAAUAAGGAUCGGCUAACUCCGUGCCAGCAGCCGCGGUAAUACGGAGGAUCCAAGCGUUAUCCGGAUUUAUUGGGUUUAAAGGGUGCGUAGGCGGCCUGUUAAGUCAGGGGUGAAAGACGGUAGCUCAACUAUCGCAGUGCCCUUGAUACUGAUGGGCUUGAAUGGACUAGAGGUAGGCGGAAUGAGACAAGUAGCGGUGAAAUGCAUAGAUAUGUCUCAGAACACCGAUUGCGAAGGCAGCUUACUAUGGUCUUAUUGACGCUGAGGCACGAAAGCGUGGGGAUCAAACAGGAUUAGAUACCCUGGUAGUCCACGCCCUAAACGAUGAACACUCGCUGUUGGCGAUACACAGUCAGCGGCUAAGCGAAAGCGUUAAGUGUUCCACCUGGGGAGUACGCCCGCAAGGGUGAAACUCAAAGGAAUUGACGGGGGCCCGCACAAGCGGAGGAGCAUGUGGUUUAAUUCGAUGAUACGCGAGGAACCUUACCCGGGCUUGAAAGUUAGUGAAUGAUUUAGAGAUAGAUCAGUGAGCAAUCACACGAAACUAGGUGCUGCAUGGCUGUCGUCAGCUCGUGCCGUGAGGUGUUGGGUUAAGUCCCGCAACGAGCGCAACCCCUAUGUUUAGUUGCCAGCAUGUAAUGAUGGGGACUCUAAACAGACUGCCUGUGCAAACAGAGAGGAAGGAGGGGACGACGUCAAGUCAUCAUGGCCCUUACGUCCGGGGCUACACACGUGCUACAAUGGAUGGUACAGAGGGCAGCUACAUAGCAAUAUGAUGCGAAUCUCACAAAGCCAUUCACAGUUCGGAUUGGGGUCUGCAACUCGACCCCAUGAAGUUGGAUUCGCUAGUAAUCGCGUAUCAGCAAUGACGCGGUGAAUACGUUCCCGGGCCUUGUACACACCGCCCGUCAAGCCAUGGAAGCUGGGGGUACCUAAAGUAUGUAACCGCAAGGAGCGUCCUAGGGUAAAACCGGUAACUGGGGCUAAGUCGUAC
rnacentral:rRNA from 1 species